GAUGAACGCUAGCGGCAGGCUUAAUACAUGCAAGUCGAGGGGCAGCAAGGGUAGCAAUACCUGUUGGCGACCGGCAAACGGGUGCGGAACACGUACAGAACCUUCCUUUAACUGGGGAAUAGCCCCGGGGAAACCCGGAUUAAUACCUCGUAACAUAAUGGAGUGGCAUCACUUUAUUAUUAUAGCUCCGGCGGUUUUGGAUGGGCGUGCGCCUGAUUAGGUAGUUGGCGGGGUAACGGCCCACCAAGCCACGAUCAGUAACUGGUGUGAGAGCACGACCAGUCACACGGGCACUGAGACACGGGCCCGACUCCUACGGGAGGCAGCAGUAAGGAAUAUUGGU
rnacentral:rRNA from 1 species